AUCCCAGCUGAGUUAGUUAGAUACUUAUCUGAUUCAUGGGAGGCCAAAACCAACGUUGCAAGUUUCGCUGAUAAUACCUUCUUUUUCUUUAACUCCAGAAGGUGUUUUAUUAGUAACUUCGCUUACAUUU